UACGGAGGGGGCAAGCGUUGUUCGGAAUUACUGGGCGUAAAGGGCGCGCAGGCGGCUGCUCAAGUCAGGCGUGAAAGGCCUGGGCUCAACCCGGGAAUUGCGCUUGAGACUGGGCUGGCUUGAGUGCGGGAGAGGAUGGUGGAAUUCCCAGUGUAGAGGUGAAAUUCGUAGAUAUCGGGAGGAACACCAGUGGCGAAGGCGGCGAUCUGGGAAGAUACUGACGCUGAGGUGCGAAAGCGUGGGGAGCAAACAGG
rnacentral:rRNA from 1 species